GAAAAGCAAGAAAAACUAUUGAAACAAUAAAAAUAACAAACAGCAAAAUUUAAUUGUUUUCAAUUAAUUAAAAGAGACACCCAUACUCGCAGUUGGAUGUAACAAUAUCGUCGUUGCAAUGUUGGAUCGGAAGUUACCACAAACAAGUAUAUAAUGUCAUGUAAAUAUGUUUUUGUCACAUUUGAACAACAACAAACAACAUGUAACCCCAUGGCAUAUGAAAGUGUAAUAUAUGGAAAUGCAAGAAAAACCCAUAAGAUAACGCCUACACAGAUAAAAAGAUCUAUUUAAGGUUAUUCUUGAUAAGGAUGUGUGUGAGUGAAAGUAGGAGGAAAAAUAAUCAAAUUUGAAUUUCAAAGGACAUGACAACCUUAAAUGGCUCCGAAAUGUGUAAGGAAGCAUGCGAAAAAGUAAUAAUUAUCAUUUCAGAUAGAACGUCAUUUGAUAACGUGCGAAAAGUGGAGUAUGACAAGUUAUUUGAAUGUAGCCCCAAGUGUUCCCUGAAAAUUCCCACGAUUGUUUCCAAUGGAGUGGAGAGUAAAUAAUGUCAUUUUUUAAGGUUCCCACGUACUAAAGUUAGAUAAGUGGACCACGUGUCUGGAGAUGGUUCAUGUGAAUAAAGAAAAUUAAUUUUUUUUUAAAUUAUCAUGAAAUAAACAACAUGUGAUGCAUUUAAAAACCAAAAA